GCCGCCGCCAGGUUUUAUUUAGCGGGGGUUAUCCAGCGGGUCUGGAAUAAACACGUAACGUGUGACAGGUCUGAACAAAAUUCUUUCCUGUGCGUGAGUGGCUGAUGUUAUUCCAUAACUAUUUCGACAGGAUAAUUCCAUAACUAUUUGUGCAAGAGACUGGAAGAGAUAAGGGCUGCAGAAGUUAAACAGGCUAUUUCCUGUCGAUUGGCUGCUGGUGUCUAUACUGCAGAAGCAGGUGUUCACAAAAUUACUCAGAUGCUUAAAAUGGUGCAUAAUCACCUGGAAUUGCUUAAAAUGGAAUCACCUGGAAAAAAUGAACAACUCUUGGAAAAUCUACUUGACAGAGAUCUGGAGAGGCAUCCUGAAAUGAUACAGGUUUGAAGAUGUCUGUAUUUCCAUGAGGGUAGGCAAGAAAAAAAGAGUGAAUAGUUCUUGGCAGCCACUUUUUGUAAGGUAAAUACUGUGGAGAUGACUGGAAAUUUGUCUUCGGGCACUGUAAACACUUCUUUCUCGUUCCUUGUUGGUUGUAGCAAUAAUUUAUAUUUAUUGUUCUAAUGCUCUCCUGUACUCUGUUAUUCCUAUAAUGAAAUAGGAGCCCAAGUUUAAGGAACACUGUCAAGGUGGCUACCUGACUGCUUUUCUGGUGAAGGAUUAGUAAAUGUUGAGAGUACUAAACCUUCUUAAAUGUGCUUGUAAGGACACAUUUCACUUGAGACAUCAAGUUCUUGAACAUCUCAGGGCAGUCUGAGUUUUAACAAGAUUUUAUAUGGCCUCAAGACUGUGAAGGCUUAUAGUCUUUUUUUAUAUGUUUUUUUUUUUUUAAUAGAUUCCUUAUUCUAAACCAUCCCAUGAUAUUCUAAACCAUCCUAUCUCACGUGGAGAACAGAUGCUGAAUUCUGCCUUUUUUUAAGUGCCAUGCUCUGAAACUCUGAUGGUUUCUCCUUUUCACUUAGAAAUAGUGACAAACAACCAACGCAGGACCAUGACAUGACCUUCCUGGCCCUUAUUUCUCCAUUUAAUGUACCUGAAGGACUUACUAAAAUUUUAUUUCUGGUUUCCAUUCAUGGGCUCUGAAAACUUAACAUAUUUUACAUAUUCCAAAGUUUCUUUGAUUGUGGCUGAAAAAAAUACAAACUUCUGCUUAGCUGUUAAGUAAUUUCUGCCUUCAUUGUAGCGCUAUAGGAACAAUGAAGUUUAAAAUUCUCUUUUGAAAAAACUUCAGAUUUAAUGGAGGAAGAGUGGACAGCAAAAUUAUUAUAACUAACAUGCAUUUAAGAUUUUUCAUGUGAUAGGUCUUCCAAAGCCACGGAAUUUGGAGCUGCGUAAAAAUACAUAUAAGCUUACCUGAAGUAAUUGCAUCUACAGUUUCUAAAAUGGGUCCAUUGGUGACAGAGCACACUUGGAGUUCUUACCCCACCCUCACCAGUAUUGAGUCCCUUCACAAGUGCCUCUGUUCUCCUCUUUCUUACUCUUUCUCUGCAGGUGAGUGGCCUGGUGGCUUCAUUUCCCUGUUUCAUUUCAGCACAGGCACAAUCAAAUCAUCCCAACUGGUGACCCUUCUGACAAGCAGCUGCAGAAAUGAAGACUUUUAAUGCACUUUAAACCUGACACAUGUCUCACACAGUUAUUUUGGGCUUUUUGAGGUGCAGGGCAGAGUAAAUGUUUGCACAAUUCUGAAAAAACAUGGCUAGGGAAAAGUUCUUAAGAAAAUAUCUCAUUAUUCUGGGAUCACCUUGCACUCAAAGUAGUAGAAAU